GAUGAACGCUGGCGGCGUGCCUAAUACAUGCAAGUCGAGCGAACAGAUAAGGAGCUUGCUCCUUUGACGUUAGCGGCGGACGGGUGAGUAACACGUGGGUAACCUACCUAUAAGACUGGAAUAACUCCGGGGAAACCGGGGUAAAUGCGGAAAAACAUUAAAAACGCCUUGGUCUUAAAGGGAAAAUUGUUUUUGUUUCCACUAUAAGAUGAACCGCGCCGUAUUAGGUAGUUGGUAAGGUAACGGCUUACCAAGGGAAAGAUACGUAGCCGACCUGAGAGGGUGAUCGGCCACACUGGAACUGAGACACGGUCCAGACUCCUACGGGAGGCAGCAGUAGGGAAUCUUCCGCAAUGGGCGAAAGCCUGACGGAGCAACGCCGCGUGAGUGAUGAAGGUCUUCGGAUCGUAAAACUCUGUUAUUAGGGAAGAACAAAUGUGUAAGUAACUGUGCACGUCUUGACGGUACCUAAUCAGAAAGCCACGGCUAACUACGUG
rnacentral:rRNA from 1 species